AGAACGAACGCUGGCGGCAUGCCUAACACAUGCAAGUCGAACGAGACCUUCGGGUCUAGUGGCGCACGGGUGCGUAACGCGUGGGAAUCUGCCCUUGGGUACGGAAUAACAGUUAGAAAUGACUGCUAAUACCGUAUAAUGACGUAAGUCCAAAGAUUUAUCGCCCAGGGAUGAGCCCGCGUAGGAUUAGCUUGUUGGUGAGGUAAAGGCUCACCAAGGCGACGAUCCUUAGCUGGUCUGAGAGGAUGAUCAGCCACACUGGGACUGAGACACGGCCCAGACUCCUACGGGAGGCAGCAGUGGGAAUAUUGGACAAUGGGCGAAAGCCUGAUCCAGCAAUGCCGCGUGAGUGAUGAAGGCCUUAGGGUUGUAAAGCUCUUUUACCCGGGAUGAUAAUGACAGUACCGGAGAAUAAGCUCCGGCUAACUCCGUGCCAGCAGCCGC
rnacentral:rRNA from 1 species